rnacentral:rRNA from 1 species
GAUGAACGCUAGCGGCAGGCCUAAUACAUGCAAGUCGAACGGUGUCUUCGGACAUAGUGGCGCACGGGUGCGUAACACGUAUGCAACCUACCUUACAUUGGGGGAUAGCCUUUCGAAAGGGAGAUUAAUACCGCAUAAGACAGUAACUAGGCAUCUAGUAGCUGUUAAAGAUUUAUCGAUGUAAGCUGGGCAUGCGUCCAAUUAGUUAGUUGGUGAGGUAACGGCUCACCAAGACGAUGAUUGGUAGGGGAUCUGAGAGGAUAAUCCCCCACACUGGCACUGAGAUACGGGCCAGACUCCUACGGGAGGCAGCAGUAGGGAAUAUUGGGCAAUGGACGGAAGUCUGACCCAGCCAUGCCGCGUGCAGGAAGAAGGCGUUAUGCGUUGUAAACUGCUUUUUUAUAGGAAGAAGGAGACCUUGCGAGGUUUGGUGACGGUACUAUAAGAAUAAGCACCGGCUAACUCCGUGCCAGCCGCCGCCGUAAGAC